UACGUAGGGUGCGAGCGUUAAUCGGAAUUACUGGGCGUAAAGUGUGCGCAGGCGGCCGAGCAAGUCGAGUGUGAAAGCCCCGAGCUUAACUUGGGAACUGCGCUCGAAACUACUUGGCUGGAGUGUGGCAGAGGAAGGUGGAAUUCCACGUGUAGCGGUGAAAUGCGUAGAGAUGUGGAGGACACCGAUGGCGAAGGACAGCCUUCUGGGCCAACACUGACGCUCAUGCACGAAAGCGUGGGGAGCAAACAGG
rnacentral:rRNA from 1 species